GACGAACGCUGGCGGCGUGCUUAACACAUGCAAGUCGAACGGAAACGCCCUGCUUUUGUGGUGUUCUCGAGUGGCGAACGGGUGAGUAACACGUGAGUAACCUGCUCUUGACUUUGGGAUAACUUCAGGAAACUGGGGCUACUACCGUAUCGGAUCUCCUGCUGCAUGGUGGGCGUUGGAACGUUGCGGCGGGUGGGGAUGGACGCGCGGCUGAUCGGCUAGUUGGUGGGGUAGUGGCUGACCCAGGCUGUGACGGGUACCCGGCCUGAGAGGGUGACCGGCCACAUUGGGACUGAGAGACGGCGCAGAGGCCUACGGGAGGCAGCAGUGGGGAACAUUGCACAAUGGGCGGAAGCCGGAUGAAGCAACGCCGCGUGCGGGAUGACGGCCUGCGGGUUGUAAAACGCUUUCGCCUGUGACGAAGCGGGAGUGACGGUAAUGGGUGAAGAAGCACCGGCUAACUACGUG
rnacentral:rRNA from 1 species